CCCUCCAUAGCUCAGCUGGUAGAGCGGAGGACUGUAGAUCCUUAGGUCGCUGGUUCGAUUCCUGCUCGAGGGA
rnacentral:tRNA from 1 species